rnacentral:rRNA from 1 species
UGAGGAAUAUUGGUCAAUGGGCGAGAGCCUGAACCAGCCAAGUAGCGUGCAGGAUGACGGCCCUAUGGGUUGUAAACUGCUUUUACACGGGGAUAAAGUGGUCGACGUGUCGUCCAUUGCAGGUACCGUGCGAAUAAGGACCGGCUAAUUCCGUGCCAGCAGCCGCGGUAAUACGGAAGGUUCAGGCGUUAUCCGGAUUUAUUGGGUUUAAAGGGAGCGUAGGCCGUCUGUUAAGCGUGUUGUGAAAUGUAGAUGCUCAACAUCUGAAUUGCAGCGCGAACUGACAGACUUGAGUGCGCAGGAAGUAGGCGGAAUUCGGGGUGUAGCGGUGAAAUGCUUAGAUAUCACGAAGAACUCCGAUUGCGAAGGCAGCUUACUGUAGCGCCACUGACGCUGAAGCUCGAAAGUGCGGGUAUCGAACA